UGAGACCACGUGGAAUAUGGCUCUAGU
rnacentral:piRNA from 1 species